rnacentral:rRNA from 1 species
CCCUUAGAUGUUCUGGGCCGCACGCGCGCUACACUGUUCGACGCAGCGAGUCUUAACCUUGACCGAAAGGUUUGGGUAAUCUUCAGCAAAGUCGAACGUGAUGGGGAUCGAUCAUUGCAAUUAUUGAUCGUGAACGAGGAAUUCCUAGUAAGUGCAAGUCAUCAGCUUGCGCUGAUUACGUCCCUGCCCUUUGUACACACCGCCCGUCGCUACUACCGAUUGAAUGGUUUAGUGAGAUCUCUGGAUUGACGCUGGCUAGGGGGCGACCCUUGGCCGGGCUGUCGAGAAACUGCUCAAACUUGAUCAUUUAGAGGAAGUAAAAGUCGUAACA